AACGAACGCUGGCGGCGUGCUUAACACAUGCAAGUCGAACGGAUCAAGGGGCUUGCUCCUUGAUUAGUGGCGCACGGGUGAGUAACGCGUGGAUAAUCUGCCCGACGAUCUGGGAUAACAUCUCGAAAGGGGUGCUAAUACCGGAUAAGCCCACGGGGUCUUCGGAUCUUGCGGGAAAAGAGGGGGACCUUCGGGCCUCUUGUCGUCGGAUGAGUCCGCGUACCAUUAGCUAGUUGGCGGGGUAAAGGCCCACCAAGGCUACGAUGGUUAGCUGGUCUGAGAGGAUGAUCAGCCACACUGGAACUGAGACACGGUCCAGACUCCUACGGGAGGCAGCAGUGGGGAAUUUUGCGCAAUGGGGGAAACCCUGACGCAGCAACGCCGCGUGAGUGAUGAAGGCCUUCGGGUCGUAAAGCUCUGUCUAGAGGAAAGAAGUGUGGGGUGGCUAGUAUCCACUUCACUUGACGGUACCUCUGAAGGAAGCACCGGCUAACUCCGUGCCAGCAGCCGCGGUAAUACGGAGGGUGCGAGCGUUGUUCGGAUUUAUUGGGCGUAAAGCGCGUGUAGGCGGUUUCUUAAGUCUGAUGUGAAAGCCCCGGGCUCAACCUGGGAAGUGCAUUGGAUACUAGGAGACUUGAAUACGGGAGAGGGUAGUGGAAUUCCUAGUGUAGGAGUGAAAUCCGUAGAUAUUAGGAGGAACACCGGUGGCGAAGGCGGCUACCUGGACCGAUAUUGACGCUGAGACGCGAAAGCGUGGGUAGCAAACAGGAUUAGAUACCCUGGUAGUCCACGCCGUAAACGAUGAGAACUAGGUGUUGCGGGUAUUGACCCCUGCAGUGCCGCAGCUAACGCAUUAAGUUCUCCGCCUGGGAAGUACGGUCGCAAGACUA
rnacentral:rRNA from 1 species